GUGCUCACUUCGGCAGCGUAUAUACUAAAAUUGGAACGAUACAGAGAAGAUUAGCAUGGCCUCUCAAGGAUGACACUCAAAUUCGUGAAGCGUUCCAUAUUUUU
rnacentral:snRNA from 1 species